rnacentral:lncRNA from 1 species
UGCGGCCCUUUCCAUUAGCAAGAAGAACCGUCUAAAUCUGGAGGAAAGACAAGUAUUGCUAGGAAACAGACUUUGGAGCCAGACAGACUUCACUGAAGGUCUCAUCUCUCAUUAGCAAAGGAGUCAUCUCUCAGAACCUUAGUUUUCUCAGCCGUGGAAUGGGCAUAAUACCCACCUUGCAGGAUUUUUAUAAGGAAAGCACCUGGUACAUAGGCAGCAAGCAGUAGUGUGCGGCGUGGACAGCUCCUGCCCUCCUCCAGGCGCGCAGCACAAGGCCAAGAGGAGGAGGAGACAGCG